rnacentral:other from 1 species
UUCAUUCUGCGGUUCUCGUAACCGAGUUAAGUUAAUUGAGCCAACGCCGAUUGAAUCGGGAGACCGAUGCCGUUCUUAAGCCAGUGCUGUCCUUCAGAGUUAAGGAUUUGCCAGAGGCUGCGGCUUAACAAUAGGUCACCCACCUGUUAAGUGCAGGUUCAAUUACGGCUUCGGGGCGGCCCUCGCGGAUUUCCC